rnacentral:rRNA from 1 species
GAUCAUGGCUCAGGACGAACGCUGGCGGCGUGCCUAAUACAUGCAAGUAGGACGCACAGUUUAUACCGUAGCUUGCUACACCAUAGACUGUGAGUUGCGAACGGGUGAGUAACGCGUAGGUAACCUGCCUAUUAGAGGGGGAUAAUUAUUGGAAACGAUAGCUAAUACCGCAUAACAGUAUGUAACACAUGUUAGAUGCUUGAAAGAUGCAAUUGCAUCG